rnacentral:rRNA from 1 species
AGACGUAGGGCGCAAGCGUUGUCCGGAUUUAUUGGGCGUAAAGAGCUCGUAGGCGGCCUGUCGCGUCAACCGUGAAAUCCCGCGGCUUAACUGUGGGCGUGCGGUUGAUACGGGUGGGCUGGAGUUCGGUAGGGGAGACUGGAAUUCCUGGUGUAGCGGUGAAAUGCGCAGAUAUCAGGAGGAACACCGGUGGCGAAGGCGGGUCUCUGGGCCGAUACUGACGCUGAGGAGCGAAAGCGUGGGGAGCGAACAGGAUUAGAUACCCUGGUAGUCCACGCUGUAAACGUUGGGCGCUAGGUGUGGGGGGCAUUCCCGGUUUCCUGUGCCGUAGCUAACGCAUUAAGCGCCCCGCCUGGGGAGUACGGCCGCAAGGCUAAA